GACGAACGCUGGCGGCGUGCUUAACACAUGCAAGUCGAACGGUGAAGCUCCAGCUUGCUGGAGUGGAUCAGUGGCGAACGGGUGAGUAACACGUGAGCAACCUGCCCCAGACUCUGGAAUAAGCGCUGGAAACGGCGUCUAAUACUGGAUACGAGAUCAAGCCGCAUGGUUAUGGUCUGGAAAGUUUUUCGGUUUGGGAUGGGCUCGCGGCCUAUCAGCUUGUUGGUGGGGUAAUGGCUCACCAAGGCGACGACGGGUAGCCGGCCUGAGAGGGGAACCGGCCAAACUGGGACUGAGACACGGCCCAGACUCCUACGGGAGGCAGCAGUGGGGAAUAUUGCACAAUGGGCGAAAGCCUGAUGCAGCGACGCCGCGUGAGGGAUGACGGCCUUCGGGUUGUAAACCUCUUUCAGCAGGGAAGAAGCGAAAGUGACGGUACCUGCAGAAGAAGCACCGGCUAACUACGUGCCAGCCGCCGCAGUAACAC
rnacentral:rRNA from 1 species